rnacentral:snoRNA from 1 species
AAACCAUGUUGUGGGCAUUGUCUUAAUAGUCCUUUGUAUCUUUCCCAUGCUUCGUAGUUGCACUCUAAAUCAAGUUGAGAGAAUGAUGUUAUGUUUUGGUUU